rnacentral:rRNA from 1 species
UACGUGAGGGGCAAGCGUUGUCCGGAUUAUUGGGCGUAAAGAGCGUGUAGGCGGUUUGGUAGGUCCGUUGUGAAACUCGAGGCUCAACCUCGAGACGCCGAUGGAAACCAUCAGACUAGAGUCCGGAAGAGGAGAGUGGAAUUCCUGGUGUAGCGGUGAAAUGCGCAGAUAUCAGGAAGAACACCCGUGGCUAAGGCGGCUCUCUAGUACGGUACUGACGCUGAGACGCGAAAGCGUGGGGAGCGAACAGG